rnacentral:rRNA from 1 species
ACUCUAAUCAACGGAUGUCUUGGCUCCUUACACGAUGAAGAACGUUGCAUAAUGUGAUAAGUAACUGGAGUUGCGAACAUUGUGACAAGUUAAUCUUUGAAUGCAAAUUGCGCGUACCUUUACCUUCGGGUAUUGGUUGCAUGUAUGCCACAGUACUGCA